GUUCAAAACUGAUUGCCGGAAGCCGUUCCAUCCUUGCUGCUUGACACAGUCGCUGCAAGGAAGAAACAUCUGCACAGCAUAUGUUCCAAGGAACCUGGC